GCUUAAUGGUUUCAGGUGUCGUGCUAGUUCUAGAAUUCUGCAUUGCUUGUUAUCGCUGAUUUUGUGAGUUCGAACUCCUCACCAUCACAGUACACAGUAUUAUAUAGUAGUGUCCAUGGUCAGUGUUAGCAAGUGUCAAUGUGAAGUAGUUCAAGAAGAUGGGAAAAGAAUUCAAUCCCCAUUAGUGCAUGCCAAAGAGACUUCAAAACAGCUGAAGGG